rnacentral:rRNA from 1 species
GACGAACGCUGGCGGCGUGCUUAACACAUGCAAGUCGAACGGAAAGGCCCUGCUUUUGUGGGGUGCUCGAGUGGCGAACGGGUGAGUAACACGUGAGUAACCUGCCCUUGACUUUGGGAUAACUUCAGGAAACUGGGGCUAAUGCCGGAUAGGAGCUCCUGCUGCAUGGUGGGGGUUGGAAAGUUUCGGCGGUUGGGGAUGGACUCGCGGCUUAUCAGCUUGUUGGUGGGGUAGUGGCUUACCAAGGCUUUGACGGGUAGCCGGCCUGAGAGGGUGACCGGCCACAUUGGGACUGAGAUACGGCCCAGACUCCUACGGGAGGCAGCAGUGGGGAAUAUUGCACGAUGGGCGGAAGCCUGAUGCAGCAACGCCGCGUGCGGGAUGACGGCCUUCGGGUUGUAAACCGCUUUCGCCUGUGACGAAGCGUGAGUGACGGUAAUGGGUAAAGAAGCACCGGCUAACUACGUG